ensembl:snRNA
GUGUUGUAUGAAAGGAGAGAAGGUGAGCACUCCCUUGACACGAAUAGAAGAUGUCUUUGCAUCUGACAAAAUGAAUACUGUUAAAGCACUGCAGUUUCCUUAGAGAAGAUUGUGGUGAUGUUGU